rnacentral:rRNA from 1 species
UGGUAUGGCGAAUGAAAAGAGACAUGCCCAGUGUCAAAAUCAGUUUAUCUGACUUGUAGGCUGUAGGGGAUUGCCAACUUGGGGGCAGGUGCAAGUCUCUUGGAAAGGAGCACCAGCGAGGGUCAGGGUCCUGCCUGUCACCUGUCAUCCCUUGUAGACGGUUUGCCCAAAAAGAGUCGUGUUCUUCUGGAAUAGAGCACCAAUUGGGUGGUACUCUGUGCCCAAGGAGCAUUACGUGCUUGAGACCAAUAGCGAACAAGUACCAUGAGGGAAGGGUGAAAAGGACUUUGGAAAGAGGGUUAAGAGGGCGUGAAGCUGCUGGAAGGGAAGUAGAUUGAAUCUCUCCUUUGGUAAGAUUGCGGGUUGCAGUCUCUGUCUGGAAUGCUGCCAUCUGUGCCUCUUGCCGCUUGGUUGGGCUUGGCGUUCUGCUGAGAAAUGUGGUGAGGGCUGGCUGAAGGGUUGUAACCUGAACCAUCCUCUUGCUUGCUCUUGGCAAACCGCUUGUGCGACCAAACAGUUCAAUCUUACCCGUCUUGAAACACGGACCAAGGAGUCUAAUGCGUGUGCAAGUGUGCAGGAUCUAAACCUGACAGCAUAACGAAUGUUACUGCUGGGAUUCUUGCACCAGCAGCCAACUGACACUUGGGAGAUGUUUGCGUGUGAGCACACUUGCUAGGACCCGAAAGGUGGUGAACUAUGCCUGAGAAGGGUGACGUCAGGGGAAACUCUGAUGGAAGCUCGUAGCGCUACUGACGUGCAAAUCGUUCGUCUGACUUGGGUAUAGGGGCGAAAGACUAAUCGAACCAUCUAGUAGCUGGUUCCCUCCGAAGUUUCCCUCAGGAUAGCUGGAGCAGAAUAGUUUUAUCAGGUAAAGCGAAUGAUUCGAGGCAUUGGGGGUAUGUUGCCCUUGACCCACUCUCAAACUUUUAAUGGGUAAGCUCCACUGGUUGCCUAAACGACGCAGCGGGAGGAAUAACAGCUCCACGUGGGCCAUUUUUGGUAAGCAGAACUGGCGAUGAGGGAUGAACCUAGCAUUGGGGUAAAGUGCUCGACUGCUCGCUCAUGUGACACCACAAAGGGUGUUGGUUCAUACUGACAGCAGGACGGUGGUCAUGGAAGUUGAAAUCCGCUAAGGAGUGUGUAACAACUCACCUGCC